GGGUGGAGUAGUGGCUAGCUCGUCGGGCUCAUAACCCGGAGAUCGUAGGUUCGAAUCCUACCCCCGCC
rnacentral:tRNA from 1 species